rnacentral:rRNA from 1 species
CCUACGGGGGCAGCAGUGGGGAAUUUUGGACAAUGGGCGCAAGCCUGAUCCAGCAAUGCCGCGUGAGUGAAGAAGGCCUUCGGGUUGUAAAGCUCUUUUGUCAGGGAAGAAACGGCCGAGGCUAAUACCUUUGGCUAAUGACGGUACCUGAAGAAUAAGCACCGGCUAACUACGUGCCAGCAGCCGCGGUAAUACGUAGGGUGCAGGCGUUAAUCGGAAUUACUGGGCGUAAAGCGUGCGCAGGCGGUUUUGUAAGUCUGACGUGAAAUCCCCGGGCUCAACCUGGGAAUUGCGUUGGAGACUGCAAGGCUGGAGUCUGGCAGAGGGGGGUAGAAUUCCACGUGUAGCAGUGAAAUGCGUAGAGAUGUGGAGGAACACCGAUGGCGAAGGCAGCCCCCUGGGUCAAGACUGACGCUCAUGCACGAAAGCGUGGGGAGCAAACAGGAUUAGAUACCCUGGUAGUCCACGCCCUAAACGAUGUCUACUAGUUGUCGGGUCUUAAUUGACUUGGUAACGCAGCUAACGCGUGAAGUAGACCGCCUGGGGGAGGUACGGUCGCGAGAAGUUAAAACUUAAAACGUUAAGUAAGUUAGUACGGCGUGAGACGUGACCGACGGACGACGACGAGGGAGGUUAGG